rnacentral:rRNA from 1 species
UACGGGAGGCAGCAGUGGGGAAUAUUGCACAAUGGGCGCAAGCCUGAUGCAGCGACGCCGCGUGAAGGAAGACGUAUUUCGGUAUGUAAACUUCUAUCAGCGGGAAAGAAGAUGACGGUACCCGACUAAGAAGCCCCGGCUAAUUACGUGCCAGCAGCCGCGGUAAU